CAGCACUCCAGAUGUUUUGGACUACACCUCCCAUGAUGCAUUGCCAGCAUUAUGGGUGUAACAGCAUUAUGUGGGAUGUAGUCCAAAACAUCUGGAGUGCUG